AUUGAACGCUAGCGGGAUGCCUUACACAUGCAAGUCGAACGGAGUGGCGAACGGGUGAGUAAUGUAUCGGUACGUGCACCGUACCGGGGGAUAACUACGCGAAAGCGUAGCUAAUACCGCAUACUUUUGGAGCGGCCGAUAUCGGAUUAGCUAGUUGGAGGGGUAACGGCUCACCAAGGCGACGAUCCGUAGCUGGUUUGAGAGGACGACCAGCCACACUGGGACUGAGACACGGCCCAGACUCCUACGUGAGGCAGCAGUGGGGAAUUUUGGACAAUGGGGGAAACCCUGAUCCAGCCAUCCCGCGUGUGCGAAGAAGGCCUUCGGGUUGUAAAGCACUUUUAGCAGGAAAGCGGUACCUGCAGAAUAAGCACCGGCUAACUACGUGCCAGCCGCCGCGGUAAUUC
rnacentral:rRNA from 1 species